CCGGCACCGGUUCACCUCGACGUCUCGUCACGUCUCGUCGGGGACCCGGCGGCC
rfam:Actinophytocola xinjiangensis strain CGMCC 4.4663 contig13, whole genome shotgun sequence.